rnacentral:rRNA from 1 species
GAUGAACGCUGGCGGCGUGCCUAAUACAUGCAAGUCGAGCGAAGAGACGAGGAGCUUGUUCCACUUACAUUAGCGGCGGACGGGUGAGUAACACGUGGAGAACCUACCUAUAAGACUGGGAUAACUUCGGGAAACCGGUGCUAAUACCGGAUAAUAUCUUUAACCGCAUGUUUCAAUAGUGAAAGACGGUAUUGCUUUCACUUAUAGUGGUCUCCGCGCCGCAUUAGCUGUUUGGUAAGGUAACGGCUUCCCAGGGGAAGGAUCAUAAGCCAACUGGGGGGGGUGAUCGGCCAAACGGGAACUGAGACACGCUCAAGCCUCCUACGGGAGGAACCAGAAGGGAACCUUCCGCAAUGAGCGAAAGCCUGACGGGGCAACGCCGCGUGAGGAAUGAAGGUCUCCGGUUCGUAAACCUCGUUGAUAAGGGAAGAACAAAUGUGUAAGUAACUACGCACGAAUUGACGGUACCUAAUCAGAAAGCGACGGCUAACUACGUG